UUGGAUAUAUUAAGGUGUAAGACUGAUUUUAGAUCAGUUUUUCCCUUUUUAAAAGAGUGAGAGUGAGGGUUUGUGAGUAAAGAGGAGAAGAAGGGGAGAAAGAGAAGAUCAAGCAAGGUUUCGUCAAAGAUCGUCGUGGAUAUCGUCGGGGGUGAUCCCUACUAGGUAUGUGAGUUCAUAGUGUUGGGUUGGUUAUUUCCCCCACAUGCCAAACUCGUUUAAU
rnacentral:lncRNA from 1 species